rnacentral:sRNA from 1 species
UUACGAUUCUGCACGUGUUUAAUGCACCA